GAGUUUGAUCAUGGCUCAGAACGAACGCUGGCGGCGGGGCUUAGGCAUGCAAGUCGCGGGCGAAAGUCGCAAGAUGAGUAGACCGGCGUAAGGGUGAGUAAUAGGUAGUUAACGUACCCAGAUGACGCGGAUAAUAUCCCGAAAGGGAUGGUAAUACGCGAUGAGACCACGGUUCCUGCGGGAACAGGGGUCAAAGGGCGGGGAUCCUUCGGGACCUGUCGCAUGUGGAGCGGACGACCUCCGAUUAGCUAGUUGGCGGGGUAACGGCCCACCAAGGCGAUGAUCGGUAGCCGGGCUGAGAGGCUGUCCGGCCACACGGGCACUGAGACACUGGCCCGACUCCUACGGGAGGCUGCAGUCGCAAAUUUUUCUCAAUGGGCGCAAGCCUGAAGAAGCCACGCCGCGUGCUGGAUGAAGGCGCUAUGCGUUGUAAACAGCUGUCAGGGAAGGGGAAUGCGUGCUAUGAAUAGUGGUACGUUUGACUGC
rnacentral:rRNA from 1 species